UACGGAGGGUGCAAGCGUUGUCCGGAUUUAUUGGGUUUAAAGGGUGCGUAGGCGGCCCGUUAAGUCAGUGGUGAAAGCCUCCAGCUCAACUGGAGAACUGCCAUUGAUACUGACGGGCUUGAGUACAGACGAGGUUGGCGGAAUUGAUUGUGUAGCGGUGAAAAUGCGCAGAUAUCAGGAGGAACACCAAUGGCGAAGGCAGCACUCUGGGACGUGACUGACGCUGAGACGCGAAAGCGUGGGGGAGCAAACAGG
rnacentral:rRNA from 1 species